GACAGAGGGUGCAAACGUUGUUCGGAAUUACUGGGCGUAAAGCGCGUGUAGGCGGUAGGCCAAGUCUGCUGUGAAAUCGCCCGGCUCAACUGGGCGCGGUCGGUGGAAACUGGUCAACUGGAGGACGGUAGAGGCGAGUGGAAUUCCCGGUGUAGUGGUGAAAUGCGUAGAGAUCGGGAGGAACACCAGUGGCGAAGGCGGCUCGCUGGGCCGGUCCUGACGCUGAGACGCGAAGGCGUGGGGAGCGAACGGG
rnacentral:rRNA from 1 species